GCCGCCUGCACGCUCCUUCUUGAAUGCACGCUGUUCUUGUGUAUCUGGCCUGCUGUGGGUGGACGCUACUCCCCGCCUUCCCUAGCAGCUCACCCGCCCUGCCAGUGCCCUGGAACUGAACUCCCAGGUGGUGCCAACGGUCCCAGGACAGGAGCUCUGAGAAGGCAGCACGGGUGCAUGUUUUAUCCCCUUCAGCAUCCUCAAGCCCUAGAGGACAGCCCUCAGGGGCUAAUAAAAACAUGCUGCUUGGAUAAGGUGAUGGGUGGAUGGCCUAGGAUUCACGCCUUUCCAUCUAACUUAAAUCGUUUACAGUUCAAGCAGGCCAAGAUGGACACGUAAAUGAACCGAAGUCAGGAUACGCAAGACGGAUGCCUCCUCUGGGAACAUUUAUUCAUCAGCGCAGCACUUAGAGUCAAAUAAAAGGCAAACGUCAUAA